CUACGGAGGGUGCAAGCGUUGUUCGGAAUUAUUGGGCGUAAAGAGCAUGUAGGCGGACUAUUAAGUCUGGUGUGAAAGCCCGGGGCUCAACCCCGGAAGUGCAUUGGAUACUGGUAGUCUUGAGUAUGGGAGAGGAAAGUGGAAUUCCGAGUGUAGGAGUGAAAUCCGUAGAUAUUCGGAGGAACACCAGUGGCGAAGGCGGCUUUCUGGACCAAUACUGACGCUGAGAUGCGAAAGCGUGGGGAGCGAACAGGAUUAGAAACCCUAGUAGUCC
rnacentral:rRNA from 1 species